rnacentral:tRNA from 1 species
AAAGAUUUAGUUAAAUACAUAACAUAAAUUUGUCAAAUUUAAAUUAUUAUAAUUAAUAAUCUUUU